rnacentral:rRNA from 1 species
GACGAACGCUGGCGGCGUGCCUAAUACAUGCAAGUCGAACGCAGUGGGGACGGGUGAGUAACACGUGGGUAACCUCCCAUCAGAGGGGAUAACACUUGGAAACAGGUGCUAAACCGAUACCUGAUGAUGGACCCGCGGGUGAUUAGCUUAUUGGGGAGGUAACGGCUCAACAAGGCCACGAUGCAUAGCUGAACUGAGGGGGUGAUCGGCCACACUGGGACUGAGACACGGCCCAGACUCCUACGGGAGGCAGCGGUAGGGAAUCUGCGGCAAUGGACGAAAGUCUGACCGAGCAACGCCGCGUGAGUGAAGAAGUUUUUCGGAUCGUAAAACUCUGUUGUUAGAGAAGCGGUAUCUAACCAGAAAGCCACGGCUAACUACGUGCCAGCAGCCGCGGUAAUAC